UUGUGAUGAAAAUUCCAGCUGGCACCAGUCCGAGAUAGACUUGUACUCUUCUUGAUGCGGAUAAGCUGUUUGCGGGAGAUUUGCUAUCUCCUUAGUUUCUGAA
rnacentral:snoRNA from 1 species